UAGGGAAUCUUCCGCAAUGGGCGAAAGCUUGCCGGAGCAACGCCGCGUGAGUGAUGAAGGUCUUCGGAUCGUAAAACUCUGUUAUUAGGGAAGAACAAAUGUGUAAGUAACUAUGCACGUCUUGACGGUACCUAAUCAGAAAGCCACGGCUAACUACGUGCCAGCAGCCGCGGUAAUACGUAGGUGGCAAGCGUUAUCCGUAAUUAUUGGGCGUAAAGCGCGCGUAGGCGGUUUUUUAAGUCUGAUGUGAAAGCCCACGGCUCAACCGUGGAGGGUCAUUGGAAACUGGAGAACUUAAGUGCAGAAGAGGAAAGUGGAGUUCCAUGUGUAGCGGUGAAAUGCGCAGGGAUAUGGAGGAACACCAGUGGCGAAGACGGCUUUCUGGUCUGUAACUGACGCUGAUGUGCGAAGGCGUGGGGAUCAAACAGG
rnacentral:rRNA from 1 species